AGGUUACUGCUAUCGGUGUUCGCCUAAGCCAUGCGAGUCAUAUGUUCUUCGUGAACAUGGCGUACUGCUCAGUAACACGUGGAUAACCUGCCCUUGGGUCCGGCAUAACCCCGGGAAACUGGGGAUAAUUCCGGAUAACGCACAUAUGCUGGAAUGCUUUAUGCGUCAAAUGGAUUCGUCCGCCCAAGGAUGGGUCUGCGGCCUAUCAGGUAGUAGUGGGUGUAAUGUACCUACUAGCCUACGACGGGUACGGGUUGUGAGAGCAAGAGCCCGGAGAUGGAUUCUGAGACAUGAAUCCAGGCCCUACGGGGCGCAGCAGGCGCGAAAACUUUACAAUGCGGGAAACCGUGAUAAGGGGACACCGAGUGCCAGCAUCAUAUGCUGGCUGUCCGGGCGUGUAAAAUACACCUGUUAGCAAGGGCCGGGCAAGACCGGUGCCAGCCGCCGCGGUAACACCGGCGGCCCGAGUGGUGAUCGUGAUUAUUGGGUCUAAAGGGUCCGUAGCCGGUUUGGUCAGUCCUCCGGGAAAUCUGACGGCUUAACCGUUAGGCUUUCGGGGGAUACUGCCAGACUUGGAACCGGGAGAGGUAAGAGGUACUACAGGGGUAGGAGUGAAAUCUUGUAAUCCCUGUGGGACCACCUGUGGCGAAGGCGUCUUACCAGAACGGGUUCGACGGUGAGGGACGAAAGCUGGGGGCACGAACCGGAUUAGAUACCCGGGUAGUCCCAGCCGUAAACGAUGCUCGCUAGGUGUCAGGCAUGGCGCGACCGUGUCUGGUGCCGCAGGGAAGCCGUGAAGCGAGCCACCUGGGAAGUACGGCCGCAAGGCUGAAACUUAA
rnacentral:rRNA from 1 species